AACAUCUUAUUAUCUUUUAAGCUACUCUAAAAUAAGCUUAACCGAAACACCCUCUUUCUAAAUUUUAGAGUAACUUUAAAUAUAAGUAUUGAACAGCCAUAAUCGGUUCCCUCCUUUGCCACCGUCGUUGCUGCUACUGUCAUCGUUCUAGGUCACAAAAUCAGAUUGACUUCGCUGCUACAUAUACCGAUUACACCAUAUUCAGCAAGAGUAAAAUGGAGAGAAAACAUUCAAAUUCACGGUCCAACCACUUGCUACAGAAGAUAAGAGGUUUCACGCGUUCAAUUGUCGAAGAUCUCUCCCACGGUCGUGCUUUGGUGAUUUACAUCAAUCGUUUCCGCAAUUACUGCACUGAUAUUUCUGAAAACUGCUAUUGCAGCCGUGAUUCUGUUAAGGGAGUGGAGAUUCUCACACUGCAACGGGAAUGCCAUGCGCGUAGGUUGGACAUUUUAUUGCGAGUACUACUUAUAGUUCAACAACUUUUACAAGAGAAUAGGCACGGGUCAAAGAGAGACAUUUAUUACAUGCAUCCUUCAGUGUUUCAAGAACAAUCGGUUGUAGACCGCGCCAUCAAUGACAUCUGCAUACUUCUUCAGUGCAGUCGUCACAACCUAAAUGUUGUGUCUGUCUCAAAAGGAUUAGUGAUGGGAUGGUUGAGAUUCUCAGAAGCUGACACGAUAUUCAACUGCAUAAACCACCCUGAUACCGCGCACUCUAUUCCAGUAUUUGUAGAAGAAGUGAAAGAUAUUAUCAGUGUUGCAGACUACAUACUAGUUGUGGAGAAGGAAUCAGUAUUUCAACGACUAGCAAAUGAUUGUUAUUGCAAGAAUAAUCGUUGCAUUGUCAUCACAGGCAGAGGUUAUCCAGAUAUUCCAACAAGGCGAUUCUUACGGUUACUAAUCGAACGACUGCACUUGCCAACCUACUGUUUGGUUGACUGUGAUCCAUAUGGCUUUGACAUUUUGACCACAUACCGAUUCGGCUCAAUGCAAAUGGCAUAUGAUGCAAAAAUAAUGAAGCUUCCGGAGAUAAAAUGGCUUGGAGUAUUACCUUCAGAUGCUGAAACAUUUAACGUUCCACAACAGUGUCUCCUUCCUAUGACAACCGAAGAUAAGAUCAAAACGGAGGCGAUUUUAAAUCGAUGCUAUUUACAGAGAGAAGUACCACAGUGGAGGUUGGAACUACAGUUACUGCUGCAAAGUGGAGUGAAGUUUGAGACUGAAGCAUUGUCGGUGCACUCGCUUGACUUUUUGUCUAAACAAUAUCUACCGUCUAAGAUUCAAGGUGAAAUACAACUCCAUAGGAAUGCUCCUUGAGAGUCCACUCCAAUUGCGGGUGCUGUGUGAUGAAGACGUAUGACAUCUUGCGUUCGAUCUGCGGAGUUUAUUCGGUCGAAUUGGACGCUGAGAAAAACUUGUUUAAAAUAUCCGGAGAAGUUAAUCCAAACAUACUAUUAAAGGCGGUAUUGAGUACAGGCGAGCAUGCUGAGCUUGUUACGGUUAAAAUGAAGCACCCACAACUAAGACAAAGAACCUACAAUUAUGGUUCAUACGGUCCAACAAACGGUUAUCAUCUGCCUUAUUAUAGAGAUGCCGGUUAUAGCAAUAGGUCACUGGCUAACUAUCCUUAUUAUGAAACUAAUGGUCAUAAUUACUACCCUUAUAGCCUGCCACGUGACCCGCCCCUAAUUGACUACCCGUCUUCUUACAAUAACUAUUACACCACCACCAGUGACUACCAAUAUCCACCGCCACGGGCCACCUAUGUGCCGUCAUACCCACCGCAAGAAUAUGACCAGUAUGAUAAUUUUGAUAGCAUCAGCCCUUGCACUAUCGUGUGACAUGUUUGUUUUCGGUUUAAUGAAACUUCAACAUGAGUUGGUUUCUUGUUUUGUUUGUAGUUUGGUUUUUGGGGGUUUCUAAAACUUGAGUUGAUUAUAAAUGGAUUGAUGAUGACGUUCGUUGAUUUU